rnacentral:lncRNA from 1 species
CUACGGUGAUGGUCUUGGUGGGGGGCCCGGUUCUUGAAUUUCCAAGAACUCUAGGUGGGUAUCCGAAACCUCCUUUUUUCUGGAUCAUCAUGUUCUUUUGUUCAAUUAGCAAGACUUUUUGGAUAACUUCCGAUAGUGAUUGCAAAUCGAACAGCUUGACCUCGGCUUGCAACUCUUCUUUAAGCCCAUUCAAGAAAAUACCCUUGACAAAUUCUUGAUCCAAGGUCCUUAGUGCUCCAACAUACUUCUCAAACUCUUCCACAUACUCCUCCACGGUCCCCGUUUGCUUGAGUGCCAAUAAUUGCUCAAAUGGGUUUUGAAUCAUUGAUGGUUGGAACCUUCUAACUACCGCAAUUUUGAAUGCCUCCCACUUUGGAUUAGGAUUGCAUUUUUCCCACCAAUGGUACCAACUCAGAGCCUUGCCUUCCAAAGCCAUGAUGGUAGCUUGCAUCUUCUCCUCCUCGGUUACAUCCUUCAGCACAAAAUAUCUUUCCAACCGAUGAGUCCAUCCGAACGCAUCUUCACUAGAAAAAAUGGGGAUUUCUAAUUUGCGCCAUUUCUCCCUACGGUUAGUGUCUUCACUUCUUCCCCCACUGCU